rnacentral:rRNA from 1 species
AUUGAACGCUGGCGGCAUGCCUUACACAUGCAAGUCGAACGGCAGCACGGGAGCAAUCCUGGUGGCGAGUGGCGAACGGGUGAGUAAUAUAUCGGAACGUGCCCAGUCGUGGGGAUAACGUAGCGAAAGCUACGCUAAUACCGCAUACGAUCUAUGGAUGAAAGCGGGGGAUCGCAAGACCUCGCGCGAUUGGAGCGGCCGAUAUCAGAUUAGGUAGUUGGUGAGGUAAAGGCUCACCAAGCCGACGAUCUGUAGCUGGUCUGAGAGGACGACCAGCCACACUGGGACUGAGACACGGCCCAGACUCCUACGGGAGGCAGCAGUGGGGAAUUUUUGGACAAUGGGCGCGAAGCCUGAUCCAGCCAUGCCGCGUGAGUGAUGAAGGCCUUAGGGUUGUAAGCUCUUUUGUCCGGGAAGAUAAUGACUGUACCGGAAGAAUAAG